AUUGAACGCUGGCGGCAGGCCUAACACAUGCAAGUCGAACGGUAACAGGAAGAAGCUUGCUUCUUUGCUGACGAGUGGCGGACGGGUGAGUAAUGUCUGGGAAACUGCCUGAUGGAGGGGGAUAACUACUGGAAACGGUAGCUAAUACCGCAUAACGUCGCAAGACCAAAGAGGGGGACCUUCGGGCCUCUUGCCAUCGGAUGUGCCCAGAUGGGAUUAGCUAGUAGGUGGGGUAACGGCUCACCUAGGCGACGAUCCCUAGCUGGUCUGAGAGGAUGACCAGCCACACUGGAACUGAGACACGGUCCAGACUCCUACGGGAGGCAGCAGUGGGGAAUAUUGCACAAUGGGCGCAAGCCUGAUGCAGCCAUGCCGCGUGUAUGAAGAAGGCCUUCGGGUUGUAAAGUACUUUCGGCGGGGAGGAAGGGAGUAAGGUUAAUACCUGUGCUCAUUGACGUUACCCGAAGAAGAAGCACCGGCUAACUCCGUG
rnacentral:rRNA from 1 species